rnacentral:rRNA from 1 species
UGCCAGCAGCCGCGGUAAUACGUAGGUGGCAAGCGUUGUCCGGAUUUAUUGGGCGUAAAGCGAGCGCAGGUGGUUUCUUAAGUCUGAUGUGAAAGCCCACGGCUCAACCGUGGAAGGUCAUUGGAAACUGGGGAACUUGAAUGCAGAAGAGGAGAGUGGAAUUCCAUGUGUAGCGGUGAAAUGCGUAGAUAUAUGGAGGAACACCAGUGGCGAAGGCGACUCUCUGGUCUGUUAUUGACACUGAGGCUCGAAAGCGUGGGGAGCAAACAGGAUUAGAUACCCUGGUAGUCCACGCCGUAAACGAUGAGUGCUAAGUGUUGGAGGGCUUCCACCCUUCAGUGCUGCAGUUAACGCAUUAAGCACUCCGCCUGGGGAGUACGGCCGCAAGGCUGAAACUCAAAGGAAUUGACGGGGGCCCGCACAAG